GAGGGCAGAGCUCAGUGGUAGAGCACAUGCUUAGCAUGCAUGAGGUCCUGGGUUCAACCCCUAGUACCGCCA
rfam:Camelus ferus unplaced genomic scaffold scaffold313, whole genome shotgun sequence.